AAUAGAUACCCAGGUAGUCCUAGCCGUAAACGAUACUCGCUAGGUGUCGGCCACGGUGCGACCGUUGUCGGUGCCGUAGGGAAGCCGUGAAGCGAGCCACCUGGGAAGUGCGGCCGCAAGGCUGAAACUUAAAGGAAUUGGCGGGGGAGCACCACAACGGGUGGAGCUUGCGGUUUAAUUGGAUUCAACGCCGGAAAUCUUACCGGGACCGACAGCAAUAUGAAGGCCAGGCUGAAGACUUUGCCGGAUUAGCUGAGAGGUGGUGCAUGGCCGUCGUCAGUUCGUACUGUGAAGCAUCCUGUUAAGUCAGGCAACGAGCGAGACCCACGCCCACAGUUGCCAGCGUACUCUCCGGAGUGACGGGUACACUGUGGGGACCGCCGCUGCUAAAGCGGAGGAAGGAAUGGGCAACGGUAGGUCAGUAUGCCCCGAAUAUCCCGGGCUACACGCGAGCUACAAUGGUUGGUACAAUGGGUAUCUACCCCGAAAGGGGAUGGAAAUCUCCUAAAGCCAAUCUUAGUUCGGAUUGAGGGCUGCAACUCG
rnacentral:rRNA from 1 species